AAAUUGAAGAGUUUGAUCAUGGCUCAGAUUGAACGCUGGCGGCAGGCCUAACACAUGCAAGUCGAACGGUAACAGGAAGAAGCUUGCUUCUUUGCUGACGAGUGGCGGACGGGUGAGUAAUGUCUGGGAAACUGCCUGAUGGAGGGGGAUAACUACUGGAAACGGUAGCUAAUACCGCAUAACGUCGCAAGACCAAAGAGGGGGACCUUCGGGCCUCUUGCCAUCGGAUGUGCCCAGAUGGGAUUAGCUAGUAGGUGGGGUAACGGCUCACCUAGGCGACGAUCCCUAGCUGGUCUGAGAGGAUGACCAGCCACACUGGAACUGAGACACGGUCCAGACUCCUACGGGAGGCAGCAGUGGGGAAUAUUGCACAAUGGGCGCAAGCCUGAUGCAGCCAUGCCGCGUGUAUGAAGAAGGCCUUCGGGUUGUAAAGUACUUUCAGCGGGGAGGAAGGGAGUAAAGUUAAUACCUUUGCUCAUUGACGUUACCCGCAGAAGAAGCACCGGCUAACUCCGUGCCAGCAGCCGCGGUAAUACGGAGGGUGCAAGCGUUAAUCGGAAUUACUGGGCGUAAAGCGCACGCAGGCGGUUUGUUAAGUCAGAUGUGAAAUCCCCGGGCUCAACCUGGGAACUGCAUCUGAUACUGGCAAGCUUGAGUCUCGUAGAGGGGGGUAGAAUUCCAGGUGUAGCGGUGAAAUGCGUAGAGAUCUGGAGGAAUACCGGUGGCGAAGGCGGCCCCCUGGACGAAGACUGACGCUCAGGUGCGAAAGCGUGGGGAGCAAACAGGAUUAGAUACCCUGGUAGUCCACGCCGUAAACGAUGUCGACUUGGAGGUUGUGCCCUUGAGGCGUGGCUUCCGGAGCUAACGCGUUAAGUCGACCGCCUGGGGAGUACGGCCGCAAGGUUAAAACUCAAAUGAAUUGACGGGGGCCCGCACAAGCGGUGGAGCAUGUGGUUUAAUUCGAUGCAACGCGAAGAACCUUACCUGGUCUUGACAUCCACAGAACUUUCCAGAGAUGGAUUGGUGCCUUCGGGAACUGUGAGACAGGUGCUGCAUGGCUGUCGUCAGCUCGUGUUGUGAAAUGUUGGGUUAAGUCCCGCAACGAGCGCAACCCUUAUCCUUUGUUGCCAGCGGUCCGGCCGGGAACUCAAAGGAGACUGCCAGUGAUAAACUGGAGGAAGGUGGGGAUGACGUCAA
rnacentral:rRNA from 1 species